UACGUAGGGGGCUAGCGUUGUCCGGAAUCAUUGGGCGUAAAGCGCGUGUAGGCGGCCCGGUAAGUCCGCUGUGAAAGUCGGGGGCUCAACCCUCGGAUGCCGGUGGAUACUGUCGGGCUAGAGUGCGGAAGAGGCGGGUGGAAUUCCUGGUGUAGCGGUGAAAUGCGCAGAUAUCAGGAGGAACACCAAUUGCGAAGGCAGCUCGCUGGGACGUUACUGACGCUGAGACGCGAAAGCGUGGGGAGCAAACAGG
rnacentral:rRNA from 1 species